AAAUAGAGACAGUUUCACUAUGUGGACCAGGCUGUUCUCAAACUCCUGGGCUCAAAUGAUACGCCCCCACCUCAGCCUUCCAAAGUGCUGGGAUUACAGGCAUGAGCUACUGCCCCCGGACAAUAAUAGCUUUUAGCAGGGUUGAGGAAAGACCUGUAAACAGCGCCUGGCAUACAGUCGGGCUCUGCCCCUCAAUCUAUCCACCCUCUCAGUGGUGGAGUCCACUAGUUGUUCCGGAUAUCUGUUCUCCCUGUAGCAAUUCAGUCCUUCGUUCUUGGUUGGGCAUGUGGCUACCCAGAAUGGAAGUUGCAUUUCCCAGCUUCCUCUUGCCGCUGGGUCUGGUCAUGUAAGUUCAAGUGGUAUAUGUGAAAGUGCCAUGUGGCAACUUCUGGGAACUUUCCCGAAAAGAGAGCUGGUGCAGACCCUCUGCCCUCUUCUUCAUCCUUUUCUCCACUCCACUGCCUGGAAUGCGUAUGUGAUUGCUGGAGCUCUAGCUGCUAUCCUGAACCAUGAGGUCAAAAGCCACACCCAGAAGUUGCUGGAAUUAUUCAUUCAACAAACAUCCAUUGAGCACCUAUGCCAUGCGACAGGCUGUGUGCUGGGCGAAUCAGGCACAGAGCUUGCCAUCCAGGAGCUCCCAGUCCCGAUGAGGAACAGGCAGGUUCCCAACAAGGCUACGCAGAAGACCCCCCUUGACUGAAGCAAUGGAGGGGGGUCCAGCUGUCUGCUGCCAGGAUCCUCGGGCAGAGCUGGUAGAACGGGUGGCGGCCAUCGAUGUGACCCACUUGGAAGAGGCAGAUGGUGGCCCAGAGCCUACUAGAAACGGUGUGGACCCUCCGCCACGGGCCAGAGCUGCCUCUGUGAUCCCUGGCAGUACUUCAAGACUGCUCCCAGCCCGGCCUAGCCUCUCAGCCAGGAAGCUUUCCCUACAGGAGCGGCCAGCAGGAAGCUAUCUGGAGGCACGGGCUGGGCCUUAUGCCACGGGGCCUGCCAGCCACAUCUCCCCCCGGGCCUGGCGGAGGCCCACCAUCGAGUCCCACCACGUGGCCAUCUCAGAUGCAGAGGACUGCGUGCAGCUGAACCAGUACAAGCUGCAGACUGAGAUUGGCAAGGGUGCCUAUGGUGUGGUGAGGCUGGCCUACAACGAAAGUGAAGACAGACACUAUGCAAUGAAAGUCCUUUCCAAAAAGAAGUUACUGAAGCAGUAUGGCUUUCCACGUCGCCCUCCCCCAAGAGGGUCCCAGGCUGCCCAGGGAGGACCAGCCAAGCAGCUGCUGCCCCUGGAGCGGGUGUACCAGGAGAUUGCCAUCCUGAAGAAGCUGGACCACGUGAAUGUGGUCAAACUGAUCGAGGUCCUGGAUGACCCAGCUGAGGACAACCUCUAUUUGGGUGAGUGACCUGGCUCAUUCCCAUAGCAGCUCACCCAGGGCUGGCCCAAGGGCUCCCUUGGGACACAUAUGAUCUUCAGGUGGGCGGUGUAAAUGCACCGGCCACCUGGGGACAGAAGAAAAACACACGUUCUGAAGGCCCGGAUUCCCUUGCCCAGCCCUACAGAACCAGGCCCAGAAUAUCCAGUUAGAUUCAACAAAUAUUGCCAAGCCCCACUCCCUGCUUCCCUCUGAGUAGCAAGACGGUGGAUCCACGUGGGCUGUGCACUCAGGUAGAUGCAGGAAGCAGGCUGCACGGGUUCCCAGACACUGUAGCACUGUGCCUCUGUUUUCUCGCCUAUAGAACAGGGAUACUAGUGGUAUCUACCUCAUAGGGUCGAUGUGAAGAGUAAAUGAGUAAUUAUAUGUAAAGCACAUUCGUUAUUAUCCUUGUUAAUAGGAAUGUUAUUAUUUUAGUUCCUUGUGUCUGGUUCAGGGCUGGGCUUAGAGGAGGCCUCAGAAAAUGGGGCAGAAGAAGAACUGGCUUAGGAAUUAGAGGCUGAGGCUUUAGUCUCCACUCCCUACCCUACCGCCUGUCUGCUAUGACCUUUAGGAAAAUUUCUGCCUCUUCUCUGUGCCUCAGUUUCCCCCUCUGUAAAAGGGCCCCAUGCUAAUGCUGAUGGUUCUCACCUGGCACCUGAGGAUCAGAUGAGGCAGGUCCAUAGCAGACCCCACUCUCAUGCAUUUAUUUGCUCUGAUAUCCCAGGAUCCCCUGUCCUGUCCCUGCCUCGAGUAUGCCUGCAUGCCUGCCCCUCUCCUACCCUCCAGAACAGGGAGGGACCUUGGCAUCGGCUGCUUUGCCAGCCAGCUACACCUUACCUUCUUGUCUUUUCUUUCAGUGUUUGACCUCCUGAGAAAGGGGCCCGUCAUGGAAGUGCCCUGUGACAAGCCCUUCUCGGAGGAGCAAGCUCGCCUCUACCUGCGGGACGUCAUCCUGGGCCUGGAGUACUGUGAGUGCGGGACAGCCUACCCACUGGGGCUGAGGCUAGCGGAUCUGGCAGGCAGAGAGCCCAGGCUGAGCAGGCUCUGAGCAGCUCCUGUCAGUCAGAGCUGGCCUGCCAAUCAGCUUCAGUGGGAGUGGGGCAUGCCCGUGUGGGCGGGGCCAAAGGCCUCUGUGGGGUGGGGCGGGCGGUGGACUUCACUGGGCAUGUGCCAGAUUCUUCGUGGUGUCUGGUCCUGUGGGUCAGAGCCCUGGCUGUUCUGUAUCUUUCUUCUGCUGAGUUCUUAGCCUAGCUUAGCGUUGCCACGGGGCCUUAAGAGAUGUGGGAAGGAAGGGAUUUAUGUCCAGCUGCUGGGGGAGAGUCUGUCCUGGCAUGGGGCCGGGGGCAUGGUGGCAGGGUGGGUUUACCUGUGAGGGGCCGUAGCCUGAUAAGAGCUCAGGAGGGUGAUGUGAGCUUGGCCUCUGUCUCAUUUCAUUCAUUAGCUGCAUUCACUUGCCUGGGGGCACAGGGGUGAAAGACCCAGAGCCGAGUUCACCGCCUAGCGGGAGGGACAGGAAUCUAAGCAGGCAGAUAAUAUAGCGUGGUGCCUGCCAAGGCUGGGGAGCCUAGAGGCUGUAGGAGUGCCGGGGGGCUGGGGAAGUCUCCCUGAAAAGGCUACUUAUGAUUCGGGUCCUGAGGGAUGAGUAGAGUUCCCUGCUCAGGUUUUGAGGGAUGGGGGUAGAAGACAGUGUGCCCGGCAUAGGCGCGUACUGUUUGAGUCUGGGGAGAAGUGGAGUCUGGCUGAAGCCUCCCGUGGGCAGAGGAGGGCAGUGGUUAGUGAGAGAUGAUGCUGGAAACACUGUCCAGGCCACAGCAUGAGGGCUGGGAAUGCCUCCCCUGAGGUCUUUGCUGACUUCAUCCUGCCAGCUCUGUGAGGCCCUGAGAGCUUUAAGCAUGGGGAGGGGCGUGAUGGGAUUUGUGCCUGAGAAAGCUCUGUCUGGCAGCUGUGUGCUGGCUGGAUUGGAGUGUGUCAUCGGACGGUGAGAGGCAGCCAGCUGGCCAGGGAGGAGGCUGUUUCUGCAGCCCAAGUGACAGAUGGUGAGGUCUGGAUUAAGGCAGUGGCAGUGGGGUGGGGAUAGGAAGGAGGUGGGGUGGUCAGCAUGGGGUGACUUGCCGGUCUGGGGAGAGGAGAGCCCCUGGACACCUAGGGUCCUGGCCUGGGUUGGGGACCAGGGGAGAUGCCCAUCUCUAAAAUCUUAGCUUGGGCCAGGCACAGUGGCUCACACCUGUAAUCCCAGCACUUCAGGAGGCCGAGGUGGGUAGAUCACCUGAGGUCAGGGGUUUGAGACCAGCCUGACCGACGUGGCGAAACCCUGUCUCUACUACAAAUACAAAAAUUAGCCUUAUGUGGUGGCGGGCACGUGUAAUCCCAGCUACUUGGGAGGCUGAGGCAGGAGAAUCGCUUGAAUCUGGGAGGUGGAGGUUGCAGUGAGCCGAGAUCACGCCAUUGCACUCCAGCCUGGGUGACAAGAGCGAAACUCCAUCUC
rnacentral:sRNA from 1 species